GGGAAACGACCUUCCUCUUUGUUAGCGGCGGACGGGUCAGUAACACGAGGGUAACCUGCCCGUAAGACCCGAUACUUUGGGAAACCGGAGCUAAACCGGAAAACACCGAAGUCCGCACGGUCUUUGGUUGAAAGGCGGCUUGGGCUGCCCCUUUCGGAAGGGCCCGCGGCGCAUUAGCUAGUUGGUGAGGUAACGGCUCACCAAGGCGACGAUGCGUAGCCGGCCUGAGAGGGGGACCGCCCCCCCUGGGACUGAGACACAGCCCAGACUCCUACGGGAGGCAGCAGUAGGGAAUUUUCCGCCAUGGCCGAAAGUCUGAAGGAGC
rnacentral:rRNA from 1 species